AUGGUGAGGGGGUCCGGCAAAGGGAUGGAGAGAGGAUCCAGCAAGGAGAUGGAGAAGGGAUCCGGCAAGGAGAUCGACUGGGAAUCCUGGGAGAUUAAGGACCGGAUGAAGGAGAUGGUAUCCGUGGGGAGGGAGCGCAACAACGUCCUUGAUUCUCUUACACCUAGCCUUUCUGGGUGGAGGCGGAUACACAAAGGCGAAAGCAGCAAAUGGUCGUGGAUGACCGUUGGAAAGGCCGCCAAGGAAACGGAAUCUGACUUGAUGGACUCGAGCACAAUGGAGCUACCUGAGAAAGAAUUGGACAACAUCUUGCAAGGUAUGGAGCAGUUGGGCCACCGGAUGCUCUCUAUGGCAUAUCUCUUGCGCAAACCAGGUGUCCCCAGCAUCUCGCCUCACAUGGUCACCGAGUUGAUUAAUGCUACAUCCAAUUUGAGGCGAACUACUGAGGAUUUCUACCAAGAUACUGAUGCUGCUGAGAGUUGGAGUGGUGAGAGUGAGGGUGAGGGUGAUGACGAGGUUGAGGGUGAUGACAAGGGUGAGAUGCAGAAGGAGGAUGGGAUUCCUGGUGAAAUCUCCAAUCUUACUAAAUACUUGAGGUUUUCCUCUCAUUACGAGAACAAGUUGGCGCUGAUUGUGGGCGAGGACGAGGACGAGGACGAGGACGAGGACGAGGACGAGGACGAGGACGAGGACGAGGAUGAGGACGAGGACGAGGCUAAGGAUAGAUCCACAUUGGAGUAUCUCAAAAAAGAGAUAGCCGAUGAACAAGAAAGUUUCGGCGAUGAAUAUGACUGCUGGGAACGUGUAUGGGGUAGCAAGAUUGGAGGGUGCGGUGGCUUGGAAGAUACAACCACAUUGAGCCCUAUGCACUUUACACACUGCACACCUGGUGUUGUCCCACACCCUGCUGCUGUUGCGGGGAACACCUUGUUGAUCUACUCCAUCAGGAUUCUAAGAAAACACUUGGAUAUGACAGUCAAACCCUUGAAAUGGCCGCUCAAAGUGUACGGUGUGGUUGCUGCUCGAGACACAGUGGACCACAACCGCAACAUUCUCUUCUCUCGAUCAAGGCUAAACUACCAAAAACUCGGUGAAGAUGAUUCCUUUUUAUGCUUGACUGGUCCGUCUCGUGCAAUUUUUGGUGUCGGACCCGUUGACUUUGAAGUUGACCUGAAAAUAAAUGAGGGAGCUGAAGAAGAUACAACAUUGAUCAGUUCUUGCUACCACCACCGCCCAAGAAGAUUACUCAAAGGUAGUAGUUACUCUGAAAUCAUCCGUGGAUGCUGGUGUGAUGUAGAAUUAAUCUAUGAGGAGCUUGAUACACCACUCCAGGCCACCAUUGUGGGUGUUCACGUUGUUGAAGGGGGGUGGCCUUUCAAAUAUGGAUGCAGAGUUGCUUGCUCCUGGUCUGCUGCAACAGGGACUAUUGGUGCUACCCGUAGGGAAGUUGUUUUGCUUGAUUAUCGUGGUGAAAAUAUGCCUGUAGGAUCAGAUGAUUAUCUUCAUUUGCCGAGAAACGUUGUUCCCGUGGAGUUACAAGGAACACUGAGGCUUGUCAUACAGGCUUACCCAGAACCUGAUUUUCGACCCGUAAAGGGUCAUGUAGACUUCUGUAUCCAACAUUGCCAAACAAGCAGCCUACAAUGUGAAGUUGGUAACUCUACAGUGGAGAUUACUGUUGCUUGGUCCCUCCUUGUAAAAGAGAAGCUGGAGCUGUUACUGGAGGGCUAUGCUGCUGGGCGUGAUUGA
rnacentral:rRNA from 1 species